UACGAGGGGGGCAAGCGUUGUUCGGAAUUAUUGGGCGUAAAGGGCGCGUAGGCGGUGUCGCAAGUCCGUGGUGAAAUCUCUAGGCUCAACUUAGAGACUGCCGCGGAAACUGCGGUGCUUGAGUGUGGGAGAGGUGCGUGGAAUUCCCGGUGUAGCGGUGAAAUGCGUAGAUAUCAGGAGGAACACCGGUGGCGAAGGCGGCUUCCUGGACAAAAACUGACGCUGAGGCGCGAAAGCUAGGGGAGCAAACAGG
rnacentral:rRNA from 1 species